UACAAGUGUAUGAAGUUUACAAGUUGCUAAGGAAUGCUUCAAAUGAGCUCCCAUGAUCCUAUUUAUAGUAGUUGCAAGACUAUCUAGAGUAUUCUUAAUCUAGAAUACUCUUUAACAAAAUAUCAAGCCUAAAUAUCUAAGAUAUUUCAUUCAUAAAUAUCCAGAUAUUUACUAAGUAUCUAGAGUGUUCUGGUAAUUUUUGGUCUUUCCCUAUUGCCUCCAAGUUGCUGGAAAAAAUACGGAUGGUCCGGAGUCCCGAGCAGCUCUUGAAGGCGUGUAGUGGUCCGCCCGGAAGGUUCUAGAACACUGAAUUUGGGCUGAUUUAGCGGGGCGUGACACGUAGCGCUCUGUAUACAUUAGCAUGGAUAACAUCAUAGGAUUUCGGUCCUAUUGACGUUGGCCUUUCGGAUCGGAUAAUGAUUAACAGGACAGUCGGGGGCAUUCGUAUUUCAUAGUCAGAGUGAAUUCUUGAUUUAUGAAAAGACGAACAACUGCGAAGCAUUUGCCAAGGAUGUUUUCAUUAAUCAAGAACGAAAGUGGGGCUCGAAGACGAUCAGAUACCGUCCUAGUCUCAACCAUAAACGAUGCCGACCAGGGAUCAGCGGAUGUUGCUUUUAGGACUCCGCUGGCACCUUAUGAGAAAAUCAAAAGUUUUUGGGUUCCGGGGGAGUAUGGUCGCAAGGCUGAAACUUAAAGAAUUGACGGAAGGGCACCACCAGGAGUGGAGCCUGCGGCUUAAAUUUGACUCAACACGGGGAAACUUACCAGGUCCAGACAUAGUAAGGAUUACAGACUGAGAGCUCUUUCUUGAUUCUAUGGGUGGUGGUGCAUGGCCGUCUUAGUUGGUGGAGCGAUUUGUCUGGUUAAUUCCGUUAACGAACGAGACCUCAGCCUGCUAACUAGCUAUGUGGAGGUAUCCUCCAUGGCCAGCUUCUUAGAGGGACUAUGGCCUUUUAGGCCACGGAAGUUUGAGGCAAUAACAGGUCUGUGGAGCCCUUAGAUGUUCUGGGCCGCAGCGCGCUACACUGAUGUAUCACGAGUAAAUAGCUGGCCGACAGCCCCGGAAAUCUUUGAAAAUUUCAUCGUGAUGGGGAUAGAUCAUGCAAUUGUUGGUCUUAAACGAGGAAUUCCUAGUAAGCGCGAGUCAUCAGCUCGCGUUGACUACGUCCUGCCUUUGUACACACCGCCCGUCGUCCUACCGAUUGAAUGGUCCGGUGAAGUGUUAGGAUCGUGGCGACGUGGGCGGUUCGCUGCCCGCGACGUCGCGAGAAUCACACUGAACCUAUCAUUUAGAGGAAGGAGAAGUCGUAACAAGGUUUCCGUAGGUGAACCUGCGGAAGGAUCAUUG
rnacentral:ncRNA from 1 species